UCUGGCAGUGGCGGACGGGUGAGUAACGCGUAGGUAUCUAUCUUUGGGUGGGGGGACAACCGUGGGAAACUACGGCUAAUACCGCAUGACGACCGAGGUCCAAAGGCGCAAGUCGCCUGGGGAGGAGCCUGCGUCCGAUUAGCUUGUUGGUGGGGUAACGGCCUACCAAGGCGACGAUCGGUAGCUGGUCUGAGAGGAUGAUCAGCCACACUGGGACUGAGACACGGCCCAG
rnacentral:rRNA from 1 species